UGGGGGAUAUUGCACAAUGGGCGAAAGCCUGAUGCAGCGACGCCGCGUGGGGGAUGAAGGCCUUCGGGUUGUAAACUUCUUUUGCUCUGAACAAGGCAUGCUAAUGGGUGUGUUGAGUGUAGGGGUUGAUUAGCGCCGGCUAACUACGUGCCAGCAGCCGCGGUAAUACGUAGGGCGCGAGCGUUGUCCGGAAUUAUUGGGCGUAAAGGGCUUGUAGGUGGCUGGUUGCGUCUGUCGUGAAAGCUCAUGGCUUAACUGUGGGUUUGCGGUGGGUACGGGCUGGCUUGAGUGCAGUAGGGGAGGCUGGAAUUACUGGUGUAGCGGUGGAAUGCGCAGAUAUCAGGAGGAAUACCGGUGGCGAAGGCGGGUCUCUGGGCUGUUACUGACACUGAGGAGCGAAAGCAUGGGGAGCGAACAGG
rnacentral:rRNA from 1 species